AUUGAACGCUGGCGGCAGGCCUAACACAUGCAAGUCGAACGGUAGCACAGAGAGCUUGCUCUUGGGUGACGAGUGGCGGACGGGUGAGUAAUGUCUGGGAAACUGCCCGAUGGAGGGGGGUAACUACUGGAAACGGUAGCUAAUACCGCAUAACGUCGCAAGACCAAAGUGGGGGACCUUCGGGCCUCACACCAUCGGAUGUGCCCAGAUGGGAUUAGCUAGUAGGUGGGGUAAUGGCUCACCUAGGCGACGAUCCCUAGCUGGUCUGAGAGGAUGACCAGCCACACUGGAACUGAGACACGGUCCAGACUCCUACGGGAGGCAGCAGUGGGGAAUAUUGCACAAUGGGCGCAAACCUGAUGCAGCCAUGCCGCGUGUAUGAAGAAGGCCUUCGGGUUGUAAAGUACUUUCAGCGAGGAGGAAGGCAUUAAGGUUAAUAACCUUAGUGAUUGACGUUACUCGCAGAAGAAGCACCGGCUAACUCCGUGCCAGCCGCCGCAGUAAUAC
rnacentral:rRNA from 1 species